ACGGGAGGCAGCAGUGGGGGAUAUUGCACAAUGGGGGAAACCCUGAUGCAGCGACGCCGCGUGAGUGAAGAAGUAUUUCGGUAUGUAAAGCUCUAUCAGCAGGGAAGAUGAUGACGGUACCUGACUAAGAAGCCCCGGCUAACUACGUGCCAGCAGCCGCGGUAAUACGUAGGGGGCAAGCGUUAUCCGGAUUUACUGGGUGUAAAGGGAGCGCAGGCGGCCAUGCAAGUCCGGUGUGAAAACCCGGGGCUCAACCCCGGGACUGCACUGGAAACUGUGGGGCUGGAGUGCCGGAGAGGUAAGCGGAAUUCCUAGUGUAGCGGUGAAAUGCGUAGAUAUUAGGAAGAACACCAGUGGCGAAGGCGGCUUACUGGACGGCAACUGACGCUGAGGCUCGAAAGCGUGGGGAGCAAACAGGAUUAGAUACCCUGGUA
rnacentral:rRNA from 1 species